GGCUAGGGAAGCUCAUCAGCAGGGCCACAUGCUGAGUGCUCCUCACUUCCGGGACCCUGGAAAGGUCUGAGACUGGGGCCUCCCAUGGCCCUAACCAGGCCCUCCCAGAGCAAGGAGGUGAGUUUCCAGAGAGCAGGGCUCCAUGUGUGGGCAGACUUUCAAGCUCAAGUGCUCUUACAGAGGAAAGAGAGAUAUAGCAGGGGCCAUUUCCCUCAGUAGCUCUCUUGCUGUCAGAUUUGCAGCAUGGGCAGGGCUGGUCUUGGUCUACAGGAGAGGCCUGCAGCCAGCCAGUGGCUCGUACAGACAGUAGGGGUACAUGCUAUCAGUGCAGGCAGCAGAGACAGGAGCAUUGGGCAGAGAGACAGGGACUGCCUGCAAUUGACAAGAACUGUGUGAAUGCUGAACAGAAAAUCUGACUUUAGUCAGAGGAAUUAACAAAAACAUUUUUUCAGGAACACUGGUAGCC
rnacentral:RNase_P_RNA from 2 species